rnacentral:lncRNA from 1 species
CACAGCUAGGCACAAACAGUCCUGGAGGUUCCUGCAGAGCAUUGGUGACAACUUCUUGACACAGGUGGUGGAGGAGCCAACAAGGAGAGGUGUGCUGCUGGACCUCGUACUAACAAACAAAGAAGGACUGGUGGAAGAUGUGAAGGUCAGGGGCUGCCUUGGCUGCAGUGACCAUGAGAUCGUGGAGUUCAGGAUCCUGCGAGGAGGAGGCAGGGCACCAAGUAGGAUCGCAACCCUGGACUUCAGGAGAGCAAACUUUGGCCUCUUCAAGGACCUACUUGGAGGAAUCCCAUGGGUUAGGGCCCUAGAAGGAAGGGGCGUUCAAGAGAGCUGGUUAAUAUUCAAACAUCACUUCCUCCAGGCUCAAGAGCGGUGCAUCCCUAUGAGUAGGAAGUCAAGCAAAGGAGGCAGGAGACCUGCAUGGAUGAGCAAGGAGCUCCUGGCAAAACUCAACCAGAAGAAGGAAGUAUACAGAAAGUGGAAAGGGGGACAGGCCACUUGGGAGGAAUAUAGGAACGUUGUCAGGGUAUGCAGGGAUGCAACGAGGAAGGCUAAGGCCCGUUUGGAAUUAAAUCUGGCUAGAGAUGUCAAGGACAACAAGAAGGGCUUCUUCAAAUACAUCAGCAGCAAGAGGAAGACUAGGGAAAAUGUGGGCCCUUUGCUGAAUGGGGUGGGUGCCCUGGUGACGAAGGAUACAGAGAAGGCAGAGUUACUGAAUGCCUUCUUUGCUUCAGUCUUUACUGCUCAGGCCAGCCCUCAGGAACCCCAGACCCUGGAGGCAAGAGAGAAAGUCUGGAGAAAGGAAGACUUUCCCUUGGUGGAGGAGGAUCAGGUUAGAGAUCAUUUAAGCAAACCUGACACUCACAAAUCCAUGGGCCCCGAUGGGGUGCACCCACGAAUGCUGAGGGAGCUGGCGGACAUUAUUGCUAAGCCACUCUCCAUCAUCUUUGAAAGGUCAUGGAGAACAGGAGAGGUGCCUGAGGACUGGAAGAAAGCCAGUGUCACCCCAGUCUUCAAAAAGGGCAAGAAGGAGGACCCAGGGAACUACAGGCCAGUCAGCCUCACCUGCAUCCCUGGAAAGGUGAUGGAGCAGCUCAUGCUGGAGGCCAUCUCCAAGCAUGUGGAGGACAAGAAGGUGAUCAGGAGUAGUCAGCAUGGCUUCACCAAGGGGAAAUCAUGCUUAACCAAUCUGAUAGCCUUCUGUGAUGGAAUGACUGGCUGGGUAGAUGAGGGGAGAGCAGUGGAUGCUGUCUACCUAGACUUCAGCAAGG